CCUCCUUUCUAGGGAGUAGGGAUCACUGCCUGAGUCCUUUGGCUGUUCUGCAGCUCGAGUCUCUUGGAGUAGAUCUCAUACAUCACCAGGUCAAAGUUGGUCUGGUACGCGGUGGCGAGAGUCACUGUACGUACACAAGGGUUUGAAUCCCGGGUUCUCCCGGUAACUCGUUCAAUCGGGAAACUCUUUGGCCAACUCUCAUUCCGUCGCUACACGCUAUUCAGUUUUUGGAGACCGGAGCGAGUGGUCGAACUGACCGAUCGUAACGCUUUGUCUUCUGAGUUGGAUGAUUUCGGGCUCUGUGCCCAGGGGUCCUCCGAAUAAUGAAGGACUGUGGGUGCGGGCCUGUAUCUCAGUUGGGUUAGAAGCGUCCGCCUGAUAAGCGGGAAGGUCGGUGGUUUCAAAUUCCACCCCAGGGCCCCAACCAUUUACCGGGGCUUUAAACUCCAACUUGGGGAAAAACGGCGGGGUCUUUUUGCCAAAGCCCUGUAGGGUCGGUCCGGUUCCUAAUCCCCGAAUUCAACCUUCCACCC
rnacentral:misc_RNA from 1 species